ACCGUAAAAUUUCAAGUACGUAAACAAAUUAAUUAUUUAAUUUUAUGCGGUUAAAGCUAUCAUUUAAAUAAUUGUGAAAUUAUUAUUUAAUAAAAAUAUUGGUACGUAAAACAUUUCAGGCUAGUACGAGGUUUGUUUAUAUCGGCUAGCAAAUUAAAUCCAUUUUCGUACCAUUAGGAUCUAAAUGUUGGCCACGUAAAUAAAUUGGUAGAUGUAUAAUUUUGUUAUGGCCCGGGAAUAUUAUAAAUUUUACGGGUUUAGCUAAAAUAAAUAUUUCGUUAUAACUAUUAAAUUUUGAAAUAUUUAGAGAAAUACUAGAAUAAUUAUUUAAUUAAUUAUUUAGUAUAAUCCCGAAUGAUAUUUUUUAUUAAAAUAUUUAAAUAGGAAGUUGUUAAAUGACCCGGGGCUAAAAUAUUUCCAGUUGCGAAACAUUUAAUAUACGGGCAAAUAAAAAGAAUAUAUAAAUAAAAAAAAAAAAAAUUUUAACAAAACUAGCUAACCGACUAAUGGGGUGGUUUGUGGCACAUUGGUUUAUCAAAACCAGGUACUUAAAAACCAAAGAGUAGUGCCCAAGUAAUUGUUAACCAAGGUAAAUUAAAUCUUAACCAUGAUUUAUGAUUAGUAUAAAUACCAAACACGUUGUUUAGUUUUAGUUUGGCAAAUUCAGGAGGUACCAAAGCAAGUAAAACUCAAGACAGUAAAGAAGAAUCAGAAUCCAUCAUCAAGAAAUUGAAUAUUCGGAAGGAUGAAACCGAUUAUACGUGAUAAUUACAAGAAUAUUAUCAAGCUAAGGACGACAGUGAGAUUGGCACAACCCAAGAGAUUUGCCCGGAAACGGGUUUUGGCAUAGGCAAGGAAAAGGCUCAUCACACAAGCUGAGGCUGCUAGACUACGUUGUUUGGUAGUACAACUAUAGUUAUUAUAAUGGUCUGUAAUCGGACUUGCAAAUAUGUAAUCAAGAUAGACCUGAUAGUAAUGUUGUAAGACGAUCGACCCUGGACUUGUGGGGCAAGAGUUGGAUUGUGUAAUCUUAAAUAUGUAAUGAAAGUUUUGUUUUGGGCCAGAUGUAUAGUGAUGGACCAAAUCUGCGGAAUGCGGAUCUGGGGGCGUCACAGAGUUGGUAUCAGAGCUAUAGUUAUAUCCUUAGGAUUUGAGAAACCCUAGGAAUAUAACGAGCGAGAAUGAUAUGAAGUUUAAGAUAGGUGCCCUAGUUGAACAUAUCUUCUUAUGUUAUAUUGCAUACGUGUUAAGUAAACUUUUAGCAAAGGGUAGUAGACCCUAUAUAUAUAAAUAUUUAUAGUUAUGAGCAAUCGUAGAUGUGACUAUUAGUAAUGAUGUUUUUGUAUAGAUGUCAGGUUACGAGGCUGAUUUUAAUCCACCGAUGGAUAUUGAGAUGAUAGAUAGCGAGUAUGAGAAUACUUCUAUACAGAUAUUAGAGUCAUCAUCACCUGAGAUCAUUAACCUGGUAUCUAAGGAGAUCAAGGAUAGAGAAUCUUUUGAGUUUACUAAGAGCAAUGGGAUGAAAAUCUUUCCAUCCUUACGUGAGUUGACUUGUGUUCCUACUUUGACCACUUCCUUUUCGACUUCCAUCGGUACUGUUUCCCCACCUGUUUAUGAGAGUUGAGACCCUUCCAUUUUGGACUUGUUUCGGCAUUUCGAGCCUACACCUCUUUCUUAUAGACCUAUUAUCACACAUACUUUUGAUAGUUAUCAUUUUGGGACCGUUGUGUCAUCUUUGAUUGGAAAUGCUUCUAUAACACCUUUGAGGGGUCACCCCCAUGUUUACACCAUAUCUGAACCUCGAGUUCGAAUUACACUUUUUUUUUUUACUACCAUGUCAAAGACUUGUGUACCAUUUACUUUCAUAUCCACCAUUUCAGUUUCUGCACCUCAGACCACUCUUUGUCAAAUUAGUGGAUCUUUCGACGCACCAGUUUCUGUACCAUCAGGUGGCGACUAUGUGCCACUUUCUUUGUUCCAUCAAUACCAGUUGUUGAGAGAGUCUACUUAUGACUCUAGAGUUGGGAUUCCAGGAUCUCACGACCCUAUGUUUGUUCUGCGGGUUCAGGAUUUUUGACCCGAGUAUUUAGCAUGGGGAUUAUGUAUAAAAUUUCUAUUUCUAUAUUUGAGGGACUUCAUGCUAAUAUCUGUGGAAUACCCUCCAUCAGCUCAGGAUAUGUAAAUGUUAAACUUUUUACAACACUGAUAAAUAGAACCUUUUCAGAGUUCCACCGUAGGAUCUCAGGGAUAUCUGGUUGAUAUAUUUGUUGUUUUAAGUAUAAUUUGACUUUUGGGAAAGAACACAUGUAGUCCGUGUGUAUCUCAAUUAUGGUAUAUUAUAGAGGAUAUGUAGAUACUUUUGUAUAGUAUCGGGAUGGAGAAUUGUUCACUUCCUUUUAUUGAGAAACAGAUGCUACAGUUUCGAUCAGUAGAUCAUUUUGGUAGUAGAGAUUUAUAUAAAGUGAUCUUUUGUAUAGUGGUGUCCAGAUUAAAUUUGAUAUAGUAGGGUGAUGACCAGAUCAGAUAUACUUCUAUAUCAUGACUUGUGCUCUAAAAAGCUUCAGAUAUUAUGACCACUUUGGGAAGAAUGAUCAAUCUUGUUGUCAUAUUGGUGUCUCUUUCUUUGUCUAUACUUUCCCUAUGCUUCUUGCACUUGUCAACUACUUUUAACCUGUUUCACUCCUGUCAACCUAUCUUGCAUCUGCUACCUCAAUGAUCCAAUGUGAAAUUUUUAUGAGUAUAUUUACUCAACCUUUUAAAGUUUUUUUUUUUCUUUUUUCGAGGUUUUCAAAAAAAAAAAAAAAAAAAAAAGAGAAACGUUCAAGUUUCUAAAGUUUUAGAGUUUUCAAAAGAAAAGGUACAACCUUUAAAGUUUCUAAAAGUUUUCAAAAAUAUGCAACUUUGGUACAACUUGUAUUUUCAACCAAAAUGUGGAACCUGUUUUCAAAAAUUAUAUACUAUGAAUUUUUCAAAAUUGCACAUUGUUGUACCUUUAAAUAAAUCUUGUAAUUUUGUAUAAUGAUGAAACCUAUUUUGUUCACUUUUAUAUAUUUGAAUUCGAACCUGAAUGACAACUCUUUUUAUGAAUCAAUACUAGAUGCUUCACCUGGAUUUCAACCCAGACCCAAUCCUGUUCAAUUACUUGUUGAUUUUCUUCAACAACAUACCUAAAAUUUUCAAAACAAUCCCGAAAGAAAUUCUUCGAGUCAAAACCUACCUUUUCAUUCAAAUCUUUCAAAUUUUUGCCACCACAAGAGUUUAAAAGGGGAUGUUGAUCCUGUUGAAGCCAAGAUAUGGCUAAGAUUUUGAAAUAGUUGGUAUAGAAGAUGAUAAGAAAAUUAAUUUUGAUGUUUAUGAAGAGUCUAAUUAUUGGUGGGAAGUUAAGCAAGUCCUAGAAGAUUCUAGCGUGAUGUCAUGGACCAGGUUUACAAAGUUAUUCCUAGAAAAGUAUUUACCUAAACACCUAGAGAAUCAAAUGGAGCUCAAAUUGCUAAAGCUCAAGCAAGAGAAUAUGUCAAUAGCUGAGUACGAAGCUAAGUUUAUCGAACUUUCGAAAUUUAUUCCGCAUCAAGUAUAUACCGACGAAAAAAAAAAAAAAAAAAACUGAAAAACUAGACGUUUUUCAGCCGGGCUUAAACCCCUGGAUUUAGAAUAGAGUUGUUGUUCUCGAGAUUUCUAGUUAUGCGACAUUAGUGCACAAAGCUUGUAUUAGUGAGUUGUUUAACCAAAAAAGUAAGUUAGUCGAAGGCGGAAACCCACGCAAAAUAAUCAAAAUGAUGGAAAGAAACCUUGGACUUAUGUUGUGAAGAAACCUUUUGUAAGAGAUGUCGCGAGUGAAGGAUAUAGGUAAAGUAGAAGCAAAUCAAAGAUGUAGAAUUUCGCAAACCGCAAAUGUGUUAUAAGGAAGACUCUCGUUGCUUGAGUACGGAUCUGUGGAAUACGCUAUUUAUGAAUAAUAUUACAUUUCACACUGUUUCUGCUCAAGUUGACAUCAUUUCUCAUUUUGAAAACUGAGAAGUUUAUGAUGUAUCUUGAGUCCUUUCUUUGUUCGGAAGCGACUACUCCUAAUAAUCAAUAUUUCUUUGAUGUUACAAAAUCUUUUGUGAUUCAUGAUUUAAUAGUCGAGAAUUGGAAUAAAUAUACACCACAAUGAUGAUCUUAAUAUAAUAAUUCUAAGAGAUCGUCUUAUAUUUGAUCCUAUUUCUUAUUUUAUCCACUGAAAAUCCUUGAAUUGUGAUUAAAGGAUGCAUUGCUCGCAUUCCUUGGAAGAAGUGUGUUGAGAAAUAAUUAUGGUAGAUCAAGGUUGCCCAAAUUGUGAAAUAACGAUUCAAAAGCAAAUCUUUGAAAUAAAUAUUCCUUGAUAUUUCUUCAAUCUGAUUGGGAUGAACAACCCUAAUUAUAGGGGACACAAGGUAUACCUAUCUGUGUGAUAGGAGUUGGAUGGGACGCCAUCACUUGUGUGUGUGUUGUAAUUACAAGAAGGUUAACAACCUUUAGUAGUGUCUUAAUUUGGACACGCAACACUUAGUUCAUUUGAUCGUAUUGGGCUCCCAAUCAUCCUUUUAUUUCAAAUGAGAGCUACUUUGAAAACUCAGUGAUCAGUGAUACCAUUGUGAAAGACUUCUAUAUGUCCAAGAGAGUUUUAAAAAAAUUCCGAUUUCCUUUAAAUUCUUCUCGAAAUGCUCAGAUAUCAAAUUGUUUGAUUUUGUUCUUUUCAAAAACGCAAUUUUUCCUAAGUUGUUUUGUAAAGGUGUUGUAUGGAGGUGUCAAAUCCAGACCCCCGGAUUUGAGGGUUGUUACAUCGAUUAUUGAGAUUUAACAAGAUGACCCUUGCCUAGGGUUGAUGAUUGUUUUAGUUGUUGAGGAAAGCAUCUUAUUUUUUUAAGAUAGACACGAGAUCUGGAUAUCAUCAGUUACAGAAUCGGGUCUGAGAAUGUACCUAAGACGGUCUUUAGGCCCCGACAUGAACAUUGUGAGUUCUUAAGAGAUGCCUUUCGGAUUGACUAAUGCACCUAUAACAAUUAUGGAUCUUAUGAAUAGAGUAUUGAAGAAAUAUUUGGAUAAGUUCGUUAUUGUUUUAUUGAUGAUAUAUAAUAUAUUCUCAGACGAAAGAAAAACAUGUUGAGCAUCUUAGAGUAACUUAGAAAAUUUUGAGGAAAGAAAAGUUAUCUGCAAAAUUUUCAAAAUGAGAAUUUUGAUAAAGCAAGUAUAGUUUUUAAGGGCAUAUAGUUUUUAAGAAAGGAAUAUUGGUAUACCCGCGAAGAUUGAGGCAUUAUCAAAUUGGAAAAGACUAAGAACCCCAACCAAAGUGAGAAGUUUUCUUGAUUUAGCAGGAUAUUAUAAAAUAUUUUUGAAAGAUUUCUUUAAGAUUGAGACUUCUUUGACUAAGUUGACUAGAAACGAAGAGAAUUUUGAGUGGAUACCUGAGUACGAGGAAAGUUUUCAAGAAUUAAAGAAGCGGCUUACAAUGGCCCUUGUAUUAACCUUACAUAAUGAGACAUGAUAUUUUGUGGGUUUAUAGCGAUGCAUCUCAUCAAGGACUUAGAUGUGUUCUUAUACAUACAUGGAGAGAUGAUAGCAUAUGCUUCUAGGGAACUUAAGGCUCACGAGCUGAGAUACCCCACAUGACCUAGAGUUAGCUGCUAUAAUGUUUUCUUUAAAGAUUUGGCGACAUUCCUUGUAUGGUGAGAAGUGUGAGAUAUUUACGGAUCGUAAGAGCUUAAAAAUACGGUUUGCUCUGAAAGAAUUGAAUAUGAGACAAAGGAGAUGGUUAUAAUUGAUAAAAGACUAUGAUUGUACAAUUAACUAUCACCCAGGGAAGGCUAAGGUAGUUGAUGACGCGUCAAGUAGAAAGGAGAGAAUUAAUGUGAUGUCUUGAUUCAAGAAAUUGAUUAAGAAUAUGGAAAAUCUAGGAUUGAAGAUUAAGGAUUCAGAGCAUAAGGAUGGAAGGAUUUUUGAGAUAUAAGUGUAGCCAGAGAUACUUGAAAAUAAUAAAACAAAUUCAAGAGUUGAUAAUUAAAGAAAGACAUUUUGAAUUUACUAACGAUGAGAAUUUAAGUGAAAUAUGAGAAAGGAAUUAUGAGAUUUGCUAAAAGAAUUUGGAUUCCUAACCUGUUUGAUCUUAAAAGAGAUAUUUUUUAGUAAAGCUCAUGAAUCGAGAUAUUCAAUACACCAGGAAAGUACUAAGACGUACCAAGAAUUUAAGAGAAACUAUUAGUCCCCUAACAUGAAAAGAGAAAUAGCUGAGGGGGUGAGUAAAUGUCUGACUUGUCAAAAAGUGAAAGCAGAGCACCAAAGACCUAACGGAUUAUUGCGGCCAUUAGAGAUUCCAGAAUGGAAAUGGGAACACAUCACCAUGGAUUUUAUAGUUAGAUUGCCAAAGACUCGAGCUAAUCAUGAUGCUAUUUGGGUAAUUGUAGAUAGGUUGACGAAAUUAGCAUAUUUUCUUCCUAUUAGUGAAAAGUACACCAUGAAGAGAUUAGUAAAGCUAUAUAUGAAUGAGGUCGUGACCAGACAUGGAGUGUCAGUGUCAAUUGUUUCAAGCAGAGAUGCAAGAUUUUCUUCAAGAUUCUGGCAAGCUUUUCAAGAGUGUUUUGGGACUAAGCUUAAUUUGAGAACUGCAUAUCACCCACAAACAGCUGGGCAAAGUAAAAGAACAAUACAAACUAUAGAGGAUAUGUUAAGAGCUUGUUCAUUAGAUUUUAAAGGAAGUUGGGAUGAUCACUUGCCUUUGGUGGAGUUUGCAUACAAUAACAGCUACCAUGCUAAUAUUGGAAUGGCGCCUUAUGGACAUUAUAUGGUAGAAAAUGUAGAUCGCCUCUUGUUUGGGAGGAAGUGGGAGAGAAAAAGUUAUUAGGACCGGAACUUGUUCAGCAAACUACACAAUUGAUCGAGAAGAUACACAAAAGGUUAGUUGAAGCUCAAGACAGGCAAAAGAAAUAUGCAGACUUAGGAAGAAAAGAAAUGACAUUUGAAGUUGGGGAAAAAUACUUUUGAAAGUAUCACCUUGGAAAGGAAUAAUCAGGUUUGGAAAGAAAAGAAAAUUGAAUCCAAGAUAAAUCGAAACCUUCGAGAUUCUAAGAAAAGUUGGAGUCGUGUCUUAUCAAUUAGCUUUACCUCCAGAUCUACAACAUAUUCAUGAUGUAUUUCAUGUAUCUCUUUUGAAAGCUUACAAGACUGAUAUUCAGCAUGUUCUAAAUUAGGAGCCGAUUAACCUUCAGUCUGAUUUAACAUAUGAAAAAAAAAAAGCCUUUGGAAAUUGUGGAGUCAAAGUUUCAGGAAUUAAGAAAUAAGAAAGUGAAAAUGUUUAAAGUAAUUUGGGGAAAUCAAACUGUAGAAGAAGCCACGUGGGAACUGGAAGAAGUAAUGAAAGAGAAGUAUCCAGAGUUGUUUCAGCAUCAAAUCUGAUUCCGAGGUCGGAAUCCUUUAAACGAGGGAAGAAUGUAACAACCGUAAAAUUUCAAGUACGUAAACAAAUUAAUUAUUUAAUUUUAUGCGGUUAAAGCUAUCAUUUAAAUAAUUGUGAAAUUAUUAUUUAAUAAAAAUAUUGGUACGUAAAACAUUUCAGGCUAGUACGAGGUUUGUUUAUAUCGGCUAGCAAAUUAAAUCCAUUUUCGUACCAUUAGGAUCUAAAUGUUGGCCACGUAAAUAAAUUGGUAGAUGUAUAAUUUUGUUAUGGCCCGGGAAUAUUAUAAAUUUUACGGGUUUAGCUAAAAUAAAUAUUUCGUUAUAACUAUUAAAUUUUGAAAUAUUUAGAGAAAUACUAGAAUAAUUAUUUAAUUAAUUAUUUAGUAUAAUCCCGAAUGAUAUUUUUUAUUAAAAUAUUUAAAUAGGAAGUUGUUAAAUGACCCGGGGCUAAAAUAUUUCCAGUUGCGAAACAUUUAAUAUACGGGCAAAUAAAAAGAAUAUAUAAAUAAAAAAAAAAAAUAUUUUAACAAAACUAGCUAACCGACUAAUGGGGUGGUUUGUGGCACAUUGGUUUAUCAAAACCAGGUACUUAAAAACCAAAGAGUAGUGCCCAAGUAAUUGUUAACCAAGGUAAAUUAAAUCUUAACCAUGAUUUAUGAUUAGUAUAAAUACCAAACACGUUGUUUAGUUUUAGUUUGGCAAAUUCAGGAGGUACCAAAGCAAGUAAAACUCAAGACAGUAAAGAAGAAUCAGAAUCCAUCAUCAAGAAAUUGAAUAUUCGGAAGGAUGAAACCGAUUAUACGUGAUAAUUACAAGAAUAUUAUCAAGCUAAGGACGACAGUGAGAUUGGCACAACCCAAGAGAUUUGCCCGGAAACGGGUUUUGGCAUAGGCAAGGAAAAGGCUCAUCACACAAGCUGAGGCUGCUAGACUACGUUGUUUGGUAGUACAACUAUAGUUAUUAUAAUGGUCUGUAAUCGGACUUGCAAAUAUGUAAUCAAGAUAGACCUGAUAGUAAUGUUGUAAGACGAUCGACCCUGGACUUGUGGGGCAAGAGUUGGAUUGUGUAAUCUUAAAUAUGUAAUGAAAGUUUUGUUUUGGGCCA